AGUAACGCGUGAGCAAUCUGCCUUUAAGAGGGGGAUAACAGUCGGAAACGGCUGCUAAUACCGCAUAAAGCAUUAAAAUUCGCAUGUUUUUGAUGCCAAAGGAGCAAUCCGCUUUUAGAUGAGCUCGCGUCUGAUUAGCUGGUUGGCGGGGUAACGGCCCACCAAGGCGACGAUCAGUAGCCGGACUGAGAGGUUGAACGGCCACAUUGGGACUGAGACACGGCCCAG
rnacentral:rRNA from 1 species